UACGUAGGGUGCAAGCGUUGUCCGGAAUUAUUGGGCGUAAAGAGCUCGUAGGCGGCUUGUCGCGUCGACUGUGAAAUCUCCGGGCUUAACCCGGAAAGGUCAGCCGAUACUGCGGGGCUAGAGUGCAGAAGGGGCAACUGGAAUUCUCGGUGUAGCGGUGAAAUGCGUAGAUAUCGAGAGGAACACCUGCGGCGAAGGCGGGUUGCUGGGCUGACACUGACGCUGAAGCGCGAAAGCUAGGGGAGCGAACGGG
rnacentral:rRNA from 1 species